rnacentral:tRNA from 1 species
UACAUUUUAGUAUAUUUUGUAUAAAAGUUUUUGAUGCUUUAGGAUGUAGUUUAAUUCUAUUAAAUGUAA